rnacentral:rRNA from 1 species
UGGCGGCAGUAGCGCGGUGGUCCCACCUGACCCCAUGCCGAACUCAGAAGUGAAACGCCGUAGCGACGGCCCGGAGGGUGGCGGGCAGGACGCCCGCCAUAAAC